rnacentral:rRNA from 1 species
GUAGUCUCGCACAGAUGCAUAUCAAUAAGCGGAGGAAAAGAAACUAACAAGGAUUCCCUCAGUAACGGCGAGUGAAGCGGGAAGAGCUCAAAUUUGAAAUCUUGAAAGGUCACCUUUCACGAAUUGUAGUUUAAAGAAGUGUUUUCUGUUACGAUCGUAAUAUAAGUUCUUUGGAAUAGGACAUCACAGAGGGUGAGAAUCCCGUCUAUGAUUGCGAUUUGUAGCUUUGUGAUACACUUUCAAAGAGUCGGGUUGUUUGGGAAUGCAGCCCAAAACGGGAGGUAAAUUUCUUCUAAGGCUAAAUAUUAGGCGAGAGACCGAUAGCGAACAAGUACCGUGAGGGAAAGAUGAAAAGAACUUUGAAAAGAGAGUUAAAUAGUACGUGAAAUUGUCAAAAGGGAAGCGUUUAACACCAGUGUUGUUUUCUGAAAAUCAACCUCUGUUAGCUUUAUGCAUGUUUGUUUAGACCUAAUCAGCUAUCUUGCAUGUUCUAUUGUUUGCAGUGGUGCACUUUUCAGUUUACAGGUCAACAUCAGUUUUUUUUACCGUAAAAAAGUUAAAGAAAGGUAGCUCAUGGCUCCGGUCGUGAGUGUUAUAGUCUUUUUCCUAUGCGGUAGGAGAGACUGAGGUCUGCAGUGUAGGGCUAUUUGGCUAGAUACUCAGGUGCUAUGUGAUACCAUUUCAUAAACAACUUGUUGAUUAUGUUUUGUCUAUUGCAUACUCGCUUGUACUAUCAUACCUACGCUUAGGAUGUUGAGUCGUAGAGCACGCAG